rnacentral:rRNA from 1 species
UGCGUAGGGUGCAAGCGUUAAUCGGAAUUACUGGGCGUAAAGCGUGCGCAGGCGGUGAUGUAAGUCAGAUGUGAAAUCCCCGGGCUCAACUUGGGAACUGCAUUUGUGACUGCAUCGCUGGAGUGCGGCAGAGGGGGAUGGAAUUCCGCGUGUAGCAGUGAAAUGCGUAGAUAUGCGGAGGAACACCGAUGGCGAAGGCAAUCCCCUGGGCCUGCACUGACGCUCAUGCACGAAAGCGUGGGGAGCAAACAGG